GAUGAACGCUGGCGGCGUGCCUAAUACAUGCAAGUCGAGCGAACAGACGAGGAGCUUGCUCCUCUGACGUUAGCGGCGGACGGGUGAGUAACACGUGGAUAACCUACCUAUAAGACUGGGAUAACUUCGGGAAACCGGAGCUAAUACCGGAUAAUAUAUUGAACCGCAGGGUUCAAUAGUGAAAGACGGUUUUGCUGUCACUUAUAGAUGGAUCCGCGCCGCAUUAGCUAGUUGGUAAGGUAACGGCUUACCAAGGCAACGAUGCGUAGCCGACCUGAGAGGGUGAUCGGCCACACUGGAACUGAGACACGGUCCAGACUCCUACGGGAGGCAGCAGUAGGGAAUCUUCCGCAAUGGGCGAAAGCCUGACGGAGCAACGCCGCGUGAGUGAUGAAGGUCUUCGGAUCGUAAAACUCUGUUAUUAGGGAAGAACAAAUGUGUAAGUAACUAUGCACGUCUUGACGGUACCUAAUCAGAAAGCCACGGCUAACUACGUG
rnacentral:rRNA from 1 species